UACAGAGGGUGCGAGCGUUGUCCGGAAUUACUGGGCGUAAAGCGCGCGUAGGCGGACCUGCAAGUCAGGGGUGAAAGCCCGAGGCUCAACCUCGGAACUGCCUUCGAUACUGCGGGUCUCGAGUCCGGGAGAGGUGAGUGGAAUUCCUAGUGUAGAGGUGAAAUUCGUAGAUAUUAGGAAGAACACCAGUGGCGAAGGCGGCUCACUGGCCCGGUACUGACGCUGAGGCGCGAAAGCGUGGGGAGCAAACAGG
rnacentral:rRNA from 1 species